UAAAAGGAUGAAAAGGGAACCUAGUUCAAUAAAUGGUCUCAGUUCUUUGGCUCUGAGGAUGUACCGGGGGAGGGAAAGAAGGCUUUUGUCGUGUGCCUCGUCACUCUUCUUUCUCCAAAUUUGACCGCAUCCCGCACUCCACCAAUGCGCUCUGCUGGAAGUUUUCCGACUCCAAUGAUCUUGAGCAUCUCACCCUGCCCAUCAGCUGUGAUGUUCCACACUUAGAGCUCAGUACCAGAUGAAACAGCCUCUUCCUUGGAGACCUGCAGAACUGACCCUGCAGUGCUGCUGUACUACAGCUGAGCCGUGGCAGAACUGACCCUGCUGUGCUCCCCGAUGCUGGAGCUGAAAUCCUGCCCCCAGCAAACCCCCCAGCACGCCGGGCUCAGCCUCUCCUCUGAACAGGGCAGGGCUCCCAUUGGUGUGACGAGCACAUCGUGUCUGACACCAGGGUAAUUUCUGGAGAGGCACAACGGGGCGAGGUGGGAAAGGGGGCAGCUGUUCCAGAAGGGCAGAGCCAGGAGUGAUGAGAUGACAGGCGUUACAGGAGAGAGGGAUGGUGAGAAAAGGCUGUGCUGGACCACCCAGAGGAACCUAUGGAUGCCACUGGAGAAAGGCUGCACCACCUACCGAGACCAAGACACAUGGAGACACGAGAGCAGCCCGGCAUCACCUUUGAAGAGGACAACCAAUUUUGUCACAACAGUGAUAAAAAGCACAACAGCAGCUGAGAUCUCCAGUGAGGCUACAGGCACAAUUCUCUUCAGAGUCACACUGGAUCCCCAGCAGCAGCCAAUUCUGUUGCAACAGAAUUGACUUGAGUUGAUUUCAAAUAUAUUUUUCUUUAUCUUUUUUUUUUUUUUUAACUGAAAUAUGCGCUUUGUCCUUACAGGAAAAAAAAUAAUGAAGGAGGUGGAACAAAAUAAUAUCAGAUCAUAUACUUGAGACUUCUUGCACAAAGCCAAAGUAUCUGCUAGGAAUGUAGUUAUACACAUUUCAGUCUCACCCAAUGGUCUAGAAAAGAAAAGGGAAAGAAAAUAUUAACAUAUCCAGUAUGAUGAUGCAAAGCUAGAUUGCUGUAAAAAUGCUGAACUGUAAUGGAAUACAUGCCCUGCCUUACUGGGCCCCUCUGAAGCUUCACUUUAAAUACCAGUAGCUCAGCAGCAUGAAAGCACUGAAGAACUCAUUUGACAAGAUCACCAACCCAGGUGAGUGAUUCAUUUUCAUCAAAACUCACCCAACAGAAAACCUUGGGUUUGGAUCUAUGCAGCAUGUCCCACAGCAGCUUCUCACCGGCAGGUUCAUCUAUUCACAUCUCUCCACCAGCAGAGCAUUUGGGAACAACCUUGGUUUAAAGUCUGUUUACCACUCUGUGGGUGUUACACUGUCAUUCCAUCUCACCUUUCCAGAUGCCCUUCUGCAGGUCUGGUGGCUGUGCCUUGCUUUUGCUAGAGGAGAGAGUGAGAUCCAAACAACAACUCCUGCAACAAGGGCAACAAAAUAACAUUUUUGUUUAUAUAGCUAUAGAAAAACCUAUAUCAUGUUUUAAAAAUCAACCUGAUGUUUUUCUGAGGAUCCAAACUUACAGCAGGAGGAAAAUAUGCUAUAUAAAAAUAAGGAAAAAAAAAAGAGAAAAGAAAAGGAAGCUGUAUUUUUUGAGUUGGAUCAUUCUGCCUCUUGCCUGUCAAGCAAUAUGGUCCUGGUAGCCUCUCUGGUUCUUCUUGUACUGCAGUUGAUGAACAGGGAUUUUCCAGAGCAGAAAAAUCUCCCCUGUUGUCAUCACCCAAAUGUGCACCAGAACCACAGAGAAGGAACUGCAGAUUUAAAGUUCAGGUGAUUUCCAUUGGAUUGCCAGCAUGGCCUGGAGGCCUACCUUUAUCCAUUACUGACACACCUUCAUACUUCAAGAUAUGCAAGACAUCAUGAUGAGAAGAAAAAUCAAAUUAAAUAAAUGGUGUGAUGCCGGAAUUGCUGUCAUCUUUCUAGGAAAGGGAAACUGAGGCAAAGGAAGGGCUACAUCCAUAUAAAUAAUGAGGCAUUCAAUUCCCACUAUUUCUCUGUGUGGAGUUACAAGAAGAUUGCCUUCAAAGAAGGACUAGGCAGUGUGUUCAUGGUCAUGCUGUUGGACCAGGAGCAGAGCACAGGCAAUAGGGCUGUAAGAAUUUGACAGUGCCCUUGGAGCAAGCCCUACCCUUCUCCAUGGGCAGACAGGCUUCUCACCACAUGGGUCAUCUUUGUCACACUUACUUCGGUUUAAAAGUAGGAAUUUUACCUGUGUAAAAGUGAAUGGCAAGUUGUUUGUCACCCAAGCAGUUUAUUCUGAAUGAAGAAUGAGAGGAGCAGAUUUUAGGUCCCACACGUUUAAGGAGCAAUGCACUAAUUGGCACUGCUGUUCACAGUGCAGGCAGAUACAUUCAAAGGCAAUAGCAAUGCCCUUUAUACUUCCAGUUACACUGAAGGAAGAUUUGGCUCACUCUUUACUGGACACACAGACUUGGGUUUUAGCUAUUUGCAACAAGUAGAAAACUAUCCUGAAUACACCUGAACUGCUUACAGUUUUCUACUGCCACACAGGAUGUCUGUACCUUGUCAGGUAAAAAGCAUGCCCAUUAAAGUAUGACACCAAUGAGCAGAAUUUAUUUCAACAAGAGAACUAAUCAGAAAGCAGAUGUAUAGAUCCAUUCCCCAGAAAUAAUACACCAAAUGACAUUUAAGUAGUGGGCACCAUUCUGUCCCAUACUCAGGCAAUGCAGACCGGUCUUACUGAUUUUUUUCAUAGCAUAUGCAUGAAGUUCAAAAUUCAAACCCAAAUAUUUCCCUAACCAGAAAGGAGACACAGUCUUUCAGACUACAGAUUCAAGAUGUGUUUUAAUGACAGUUUAAAGAAAAGUAUGAAGCUUAUGGGAGGAGGUCCAAAAGGACAAAUGAAACAGAACCUUCCACACUCUCCCCAUUCCUGAUACCACAGCCUGUUUGUUGGCAGUAACAAUGUGUGACACAUCACAUGGGGCUCUGCUGAGAUGAACUCCACACCCCUGAGCCUGAAUCACUGAUAAAGCCAUGACAUGGAAAAAAGAGCAGCCUGGGUGCCUUCACAACAGCCAAGCUCUGGGACUCAGCAACGCCUGCCAUAAUCCUGUUAUCUCCUGAAGUUCCUAUUUCAAAAUGUCUUUGUGGAGACUGAAUGAGAGGCACCAGCUGGGGCUCCUGUACAAGAUUUCUGUCCUUCUGGAGGAGCAGAGUGCUAUUUUAAGGGCAGAGCCACUGGAGAAUCAUAAGACAACCAGCAGCCACCAAACUCUGAAGGGGCUGGCACCUGGUUUGCCUGACUGAAGCCUCACACAAAGCAGCCCAUUCCACACAGAUUUGGCUUUUAAUAUCGGUUAGGGCAUUUUUUUCACUAAAGGGAGAACACAUACAAAGAAAUGCUGGAGGGAUCCUACCAGCAACAAACGUUCUUUGGGGUUCUCCCUUGUUCCCAGCAGCAGACAAGGUCUCAGUGGCAUGGGGGACAUUUCAAGCAGAAACAUGCAAGCCAUUCAACCAUUAAGCCAUUUAACCUUUCAAGACUAAAGCUAAGUGACACAGCUAAUCCACCAGUGAAAGUCUGUGUGUUCUCUGUCUCUCCCAUGAGUGACAUCCCAGGCACUGCAGAAGAAUGAUGGUAAAUUGCAUUUUUUCCAGUUUCAUGGUGGAACUAGUUAAAAAUUUUUUAGGCUAUACUCUGGAUGUAACAUUAAAUACAGCCACUGCUAAUAACUUAGCUUAAUUAUUAGCUGAUUUAUUAAUAUACAUGCAGGCAGAAGAUUUCAAUUAUUUUUAAUUAUAUGGAAAGUUCCAAGUGUCUUUUUUAUUCCAUUAAGAUCGUUCAAAACUCUGUAAAACCUGCAAGUGCUUAAUUCUUUACAUGACAGUUUUUAAUUAAUUUGAACUCAGGCUAAUUAAAAUAUUUGUAGAUUGCAACAACCUAA